AUUGAACGCUGGCGGCAUGCUUUACACAUGCAAGUCGAACGGUAACAGGUUAAGCUGACGAGUGGCGAACGGGUGAGUAAUGCAUCGGAACGUGCCCGAUCGUGGGGGAUAACGCGGCGAAAGCUGCGCUAAUACCGCAUACGAUCUGAGGAUGAAAGCGGGGGACCGUAAGGCCUCGCGCGAUCGGAGCGGCCGAUGUCAGAUUAGGUAGUUGGUGGGGUAAAGGCUCACCAAGCCAACGAUCUGUAGCUGGUCUGAGAGGACGACCAGCCCACCUGGGACUGAGACACGGCCCAGACCCCUACGGGGGGCAGCAGUGGGGAAUUUUGGACAAUGGGCGAAAGCCUGAUUCAGCAAUGCCGCGUGCAGGAAGAAGGCCUUCGGGUUGUAAACUGCUUUUGUACGGAGCGAAAAGGCUCUCUCUAAUACAGGGGGCUCAUGACGGUACCGUAAGAAUAAGCACCGGCUAACUACGUGCCAGCCGCCGCAGUAACAC
rnacentral:rRNA from 1 species